CCCUUAGAUGUCCUGGGCUGCACGCGCUCUACACUGAUGUGUCCAGUAAGCACCUAACCUCUUCCGAAAGGAACGGGUAACCUUUGCAAAGCACAUCGUGAUGGGGAUAGAUUAUUGCAAUUAUUAGUCUUGAACGAGGAAUUCCUAGUAAGCACAAGUCAUCAGCUUGUGUUGAUUACGUCCCUGCCCUUUGUACACACCGCCCGUCGCUCCUACCGAUUGAAUGUUCCGGUGAGCUCUUCGGACUGCGCGGUCUGCAGUUUCUGCGUUCCGUGCGGAAAGUUGCGCAAACCUUAACAUUUAGAGGAAGGAGAAGUCGUAACA
rnacentral:rRNA from 1 species